rnacentral:misc_RNA from 1 species
GUUGAGGCCUUAUUGGCAUUAAUUCCUGGGAUAACUGGACAAUUUUAAGCUCCAAUAUUUAUCUUAAUUGUACUUUGCUUUUGCACAAUUCUCUCUCACCUUCUCCAAGAUUAAUAACUUAAUGUAGUCAUUACUUAAGGAAUGGGUGGCUGUGUUUGUUAGUACACUUUGUCCCCAUGUGUGCCAAAGUUACACCUCUUUGAUCAAC